rnacentral:sRNA from 1 species
UGAAUUCAGGGGCUCGUGCGAAAGCGCCUGCCCUUAUCCACACAUCCUCACACCUGUGAACUCGUCGGUUGGUGGGAAACCGCCUUCAGACGUUAAACUUUUUUACCAAACAAUUCAGAGUAAUCAAUGUAACAUUAUCGUAACCUUUGAAAAACUUUCAACAAUGGAUCUCUUGGCUCUUGCAUCGAUGAAGAACGCAGCGAAAUGCGAUAAGUAAUGUGAAUUGCAGAAUUCAGUGAAUCAUCGAAUCUUUGAACGCACCUUGCGCCCCUUGGUAUUCCGAGGGGCAUGCCUGUUUGAGUGUCAUGAAAUCUUCAACCAUCACCUUGGUGUUUGCUGGGGUGCUUUGGCUUGGACUUGGGUGCUUUGCCUCUGCUCUGUCGGUUGGCUCACCUCAAAAGCAUUAGUGGAUCUCGUCGGAUUGCGACAUGGUUUGACUUGGCGUGAUAAGUAUUUCGCUGAGGACAUCCUCCUGGAUGGCCAAGUCGCUCGGCAUAGAGUCCGCUCUCCAACCCUCUCUUCGGAGAACUUCUGACAUCGGCG